GCGGGUGUGGUUCAAUGGUAGAAUGCGGGCUUCCCAAGCCUGAGGCGAGGGUUCGAUUCCCUUCACCCGCUCCA
rnacentral:tRNA from 1 species